GGAGGAUAGAAAAGGGGAGAAGAAGAAGACAGAGAAAAGGCUAGGUUGUCUGUUAAAGGGAUUAAGCAUAGUAAAUACCAUGAUUAUUCGUCUGUUUGUAUGUUGAAUGAAUUGCUUUUUAUGUACCAGGAUAUUUUGUUAAGCUGAUUAUUUUUCUUUAAACCCAACGGUGAUCUCUGUUGAAAGCAGCCUGGACCAGUGACUUGGUGGACAGAAGAAUCACACAAACAGUUAUGAUCCUGCAUACAAAUAACAUCAGAAGAUGGGAUGCAGCACUAUCAAGAUUAUGAUCUCCUCCGCUGGUAAAUAAAGGUUUAACAACACAUGACCAGUCCCUUCUUUUCCAUUGUUCUCUGACAAUGGGAGCUGGAGCUGGAGAGGAAAUCCAUGUACGGAUAGUAAAAAUGAGCACCCUGAGGGUACUGGCAUUGGUGACAGUGUUUUCUAUGGUUCCUGGUGCGUUUCUGAGUGAUAUAAGAGAUACUCAGGGUCUGGAAGGCCAACAGCUGGCCCAAGGGUCUACUGUUCUGCACCAUCGCCAAAAGAGAGGCUGGAUUUGGAAACAACUGUUUGUCCAGGAGGAAGAUCCCACUUCUCGCAUUGUUGGCCAGGUUAAAUCUGACUCUGACCGAGGCGAAUUUAAUAUUCAGUACAUAUUAUCAGGAGAAGGUGCUGGAGAUGUGUUCGAGAUAGACGAGUAUUCUGGAGAGAUACGGACUCUAAAGAAGCUGGACCGCGAGGAAAAGGCCUUCUAUGUCCUUCAGGCCCAGGCCAUAAACAGGAGGACCAAUGAGCCAGAGGAGCCCCAGUCUGAGUUCAUUAUCAAAGUGCAGGACAUCAACGACAAUGCCCCACUCUUCCUGAACGAGCCGUAUUUGUCCAGCAUCCCUGAGAUGAGCCCAGUUGGGACCGCGGUGGCCCAGGUGACAGCCACAGAUGCGGAUGAUCCCAUGUUCGGCAACAAUGCUAAGCUUAUCUACUCCAUCCUGCAGGGGGAACCCUACUUCUCUGUGCAGCCAAAGACAGGAAUUAUUGUAACAUCUUGGGUUAAUAUGGAUCGUGAAGCCAGGGAGGAGUACCUGGUGGUGGUGCAGGUGAAGGAUAUGCUGGGCCUCAGCGGCGGUUACUCCUCCUCCACCACGGUUACCGUCAGCCUGACUGACGUGAACGACAAUGGACCCACAUUUCAGCAAUGUCUAUACACCUUUGCUUUACCUGAAAAUGCAGUCAUUGGCACCACAGUGGGCAGAAUCAUGGCAGAUGAUGGAGACAUUGGCAUUAACACCAAAAUGACAUAUCGUCUGGAGGGUGACCUGAAAGAAAGCUCCACUUUUAUCAUUGAAACAGACCCAGUUACACAGGAAGGAGUGGUCCAUCUGGCCAAGUCUUUGGACUAUGAAUCCAAGAGCCACUAUGUGAUGGUGGCAGAGGCAGCUAAUGACCACCCAGACACUCGGUUUCUGACUCUGGAUGAGUUCAGUGACAGGACGAAACUAAAGAUUGUUGUGGAGGACGUAGACGAACCGCCUGUCUUCUUCUCAGCAUUCUACGAGUGGAAGGUUCCUGAGAAUGCGGCGGUGGGAACAGUGGUUGGCACUGUUAGUGCCAGAGACACUGACACAGUCAACAAUCCCAUCAGAUACUCUAUCGUCAAAAAGACCGAUGCCACCAAUGCUUUCAAAAUAGACCCAAACAAUGGAACCAUAGCUAUAGCUAAAGCUUUGGACCGAGAAUCUACAGAGUGGCACAACAUGAGUGUUGAAGCCAAGGAAACCACACAGAACCAUUUAUCCUCCUCCGUGGUGGUGUUCAUCACCGUGCUGGACGUAAACGACAACGUGCCAAGGCUUGCAAGGGAUUACCAGCCAUAUAUCUGUGAGGGCACGCAGGCGGGAGAACUCGUUCAGCUUCUUAGUGCUGUUGACCCAGACGAGGCUGUGGAGGAUCAUCACUUCUACUACUCUAUGGUCCCUGAGGAGCGCAUCAAUCCAAACUUUACUAUCAGAGAUAAUCAAGAUAACACGGCAGGCAUUGUGGCACGCAGGAGCACUUUCACACGUAAAGAUCGAACUUGGUACCUGCUUCCUGUCGUGGUGGCCGACAGCGGCACCCCAGCCCUCUCUAGCACCACCACAUUAACCAUCAGCGUCUGCAGCUGCCUGCCGGCUGGCCAUUGUCCUUCAGGAGGGGUUGAGGCACUCGCUCUCUCUGGGGUCAGCAUGCAAACCUUGAUAGGGCUUUCAGUCUGCCUGGUCACUCUCAUUGACCACUGCACAUCCUGCCACGAGGUUUCGGGAUAUUGUAAGAUUGAAUGAUUUCUUUGGAACAAAUGGCUUGCUGCUCCACUUUUUACUCCACCCAUAUACCAUACUGUCGGGUUUUGGAGUCUGUCUUUGUUUUUUUUUUUUGCCUGCUGCUUACACUGUUCCACCACUAGAUGCCGUCUGAGCUUCGGAGGUGAGAAGGAACAGGUGGGUGCUCGCAAUUGCUCAUCAGUGAGGAGGAGGAGGAUAAGAGAGCAGCUCGCCAGCACUCCUACACCUGAGUGUUUGCCUGUUGUGGUAACAAAUGCCGGCCAAACCUACCUUAGCUUUCUGAAGCUCCUUCGUGAUUCCAAAGUAACCUGCCUCGUCCUUAUGUUUUUCUCCAAGCUUGACUCCAGUCCGGUUACGGCUCUGUUGAUUCCUCGUUUCUGCUGAUUUCCUCAUCUCAAGUUCCAAAUUAAGUUCCUGGAUUCCUUCUCCAGCUGGCGGCUGCUAAAACCUCCUCCUUUCUGGCUCAAGAACCAAGCGAACCCUGUCCACCUUACCUCCGAGCCCGGCACCGAUAUUCAUCACUCAGAUCUGGUGGAAUUCAACUUCAAGCAGGCACAGAAUUCAUCCAUCCACCCAACCAUCAGCUGUCUCCCCUAAGUCGUCUCUAGUGGAUUCUGUCGAGGACGAGCCGCCUGAUCUAACUCAGAUCCCCGAAGAAUAUCAUGACCUGAGAACGGUGUUCAGUAAGUCCAAAGCUCAGACCCUUCCACAUCAUCGACCAUACGAUUGUGCUAUUGACCUCCUUCCUGGAGCACCCCUGCCCACAAGCAAACUCUAUAACAUCUCUCAAUCCGAACGUCAGACUAUGGAAAGAUACAUAUCUGAAUCUUUAGCAGCUGGAACCAUUUGCCCAUCCUCAUCCCCAUUAGGAGCUGGAUUUUUCUUCGUGGGAAAAAAAAGAUGGAUCCCUCCGUCCCUGCAUUGAUUAUAGAGGUUUGGACCAAAUAACAAUCAAAAAUAAAUAUCCUCUGCCUUUACUAUCCUCUGCUUUUGAACCAGUCCAAAAUUCAACCAUCUUCAUCAAAUUAGACCUCCGGAAUGCCUACCAUCUUGUCCAAAUCCGAGAGGGAGACUAGUGGAAAACCGCCUUCAAGACACCACUUGGCCACUUCGACUAUCUGGUAAUGCCGUUUGGCCUCUGAAAUGCACCUGCAGUCUUCCAAGCCCUAGUAAAUGAUAUUCUCUGUGAUUUCUUAAACACAUUUGUCUUUGUAUAUCUUGACAAUAUACUAAUCUACUCCAAAGAUAUCUCUGCACACUGCCAUCACGUCCGUUUGGUCCUUCAGCGACUUCUGGAAAACCAACUGUUUGUAAAGGCAGAAAAAUGCGAGUGUCACAAACCUUCCAUCACAUUUCUGGGGUUUAUUCUCGAGGGUGGACAGGUUCGCUCAGAUCCGGAGAAAGUCAAAGCAGUGUUAGAAUGGCCUGUCCCUGACUCUCGCACGCAACUUCAACGUUUCUUGGGCUUUGCUAAUUUUUGUAGACGGUUUAUUCGAAACUACAGCCAGACUGCAGCUCCCCUGAAUGCUCUGACCUCAUCCAAGACUCAUUUCCGGUGGACCCCCAAAGCAGAGGAAGCAUUCAGUUCAGGAGAAGUUCUCUCAAGCCCCCAUUCUGACCCAUCCAGACUCUACCAAACAGUUCAUCCUCGAAGUGGAUGCGUCAGAUACCGGUGUGGGGGCAGUUCUGUCUCAACGGUCCAGCAAAGAUGAUAAUGUUCACCCUUGUGCCUUUUUUUCCCGCAGACUGUCCAGUGCUGAGCGCAACUAUGAUGUGGGGGACAGAGAACUGCUGGCAAUUAAAUUAGCCUUGGAGGAAUGGAGGCAUUGGCUGGAGGGAACGUUCACCCUGUAUUGGUAUGGACCGGCCAUAAAAACUUAUCAUACAUUCAAUCUGCCAAACAUCUAAAUUCUCACCAGUCCCAUUGGUCCCUGUUUUUCUCUCGCUUCAAUCUCUCCAUCUCCUACAGACCCGGUUCUAAGAACCAAAAAUCCGAUGCCGUGUCUCGCCAGUUUUCUCCGGAUGAUUAUGACAAGCAGCCUGCUCCUAUUCUUCCUCCAAGUUGCACUGUGGGAGCUCUAACAUAGGAGAUAGGAGAUAUUGUUAAUCAGGCUCUCAUAAAUGAACCUGACCCCAAGACCGGGCCACCUAACUGAACCUAUGUACCAUCCACCGUCCGAGCCCGUCUUAUUCACUGGUUUCAUUCAGCCAGUUUUUCUGCUCAUCCUGGAAUUAGUCGAACUGUCACCUUAAUAUCCAGACGGUUUUGGUGGCCACCAUUCAUCAAGACGUCAAGGACUACGUGAAAGCAUGUUCAGUUUGUGCAAGAAAUAAAUCAUCCAACCGACCACCAGCCAGUCUCCUCCAACCCCUUGAGGUACCCAAACGACCCUGGUACCACAUUGCACUUGACUUCAUCACUGGACUUCCCGUAUCGAAAGGUAUGACCACCAUCCUAACCAUUGUUGGCAGAUUUUCCAAAGCUUGCCAUCUCAUCCCUCUCAGGAAACUUCCCUCAGCCUUUCAAACAGCCCAGUUACUCGUCAAACAUGUUUUCCGACUACACGGAAUUCCACAGGACAUACUCUCUGAUCGGGGUCCCCAGUUCAUCUCCAAGGUAUGGAAACAGUUUUAUUCAGCACUAGAAGCCAAAGUGUCACUCACCUCAGGUUACCACCCGCAAUCCAAUGGACAGACCGAGAUAAUUAAUCAGAAACUAAGGCAACUCUCAGAUGCUUCACGUCAUCCAGUCCCUUGGAUUGGAGUGUUUAUCUUCCUUGGGUUGAAUACUUACAUAAUUCACAUGUCUCUGAUGCAACCGGUUUUUCUCCUUUUGAAAUUUCUCUUGGCUAUCAGCCUCCAUUGUUCCCCGCAGAUGAGAAUGAGAUCGCUGUUCCCUCUAUGGCCUACCACAUUCGCCGAGCUAAACACAUAUGGAAUGAUUCCAUCAGAGCCCUGCAAUGAACCGCCAGCCAGAAUAAAUGGUUCGCAGACAGAAGGCGCACACCGGCUCCACAGUAUCAUCCCGGAGAGAAGGUUCGGUUAUCCUCACAAGACAUACCCUUUAAGUCCUUGUCAAGGAAACUCUCCCCCAGGUUCAUUGGACCAUAUGAAAUCGAAUCAGUAAUCAAUCCCACCACAGUCAAACUUCGUCUCCAAUCCUCCUUUCGUAUACAUCCAGUUUUCCAUGUUUCUCAGCUAAAAGCUGUAACGUCCAGUCUACUGUGCCCUCCGGCCGAACCCCCUCCACCCGCCCGGGAUUUCCAGGGGCAUCCAGUGUACACUGUUCGGCAGAUUGUGGACUCCCGUCGGCGAGGUAGAGGCUGGCAGUACCUCGUUGACUGGGAGGGUUACGGUCCAGAGGACCGUUCUUGGAUCCCCCGCUUCUUCAUCUGCGAU